rnacentral:rRNA from 1 species
GACGAACGCUGGCGGCGUGCCUAAUACAUGCCAGUCGAACGAACCGCGACUAGGUGCUUGCACUUGGUCAAGGUGAGUGGCGAACGGGUGAGUAACACGUGGGUAACCUACCUCAUAGUGGGGGAUAACAGUCGGAAACGACUGCUAAUACCGCAUAGGACAUAGGAUCACAUGAUCCAGUGAGGAAAGGUGGCGCAAGCUAUCGCUAAGAGAUGGACCCGCGGUGCAUUAGCUAGUUGGUAGGGUAAAGGCCUACCAAGGCGAUGAUGCAUAGCCGACCUGAGAGGGUGAUCGGCCACAUUGGGACUGAGACACGGCCCAAACUCCUACGGGAGGCAGCAGUAGGGAAUCUUCCGCAAUGGACGCAAGUCUGACGGAGCAACGCCGCGUGAGUGAAGAAGGUCUUCGGAUCGUAAAGCUCUGUUGUUAGAGAAGAACAGCGCAUAGAGUAACUGUUAUGCGUGUGACGGUAACUAACCAGAAAGCCACGGCUAACUACGUG